GAGUGUGCAUAAGAGAGGUUAAUGAAAAAUGUGAGUGGUGACAACAAAGAAAGUUAGUCUGAAUUUGUAAACUCAAGCAGACCCUGGCCCCUACGUGUAAAGAUGGGAUGGAGAAGGAGGGCUGCUGUGGGUACUGUGACAGCAGGAUCUGGGCAGCUGCCUGGAGAGAGGGGGCAGCAAAGGUGGCAUUGCUGGGGCACUGUGAAACAGCAAAGGCGGAUCUCUGUGGGCAGAGGAAAUGAAAAGGAGGAGAGAAGGAGGCUGGAGGAAGGGACAGAGAGUGGGGAUGCCUUUGGGAUGCCAGGUUGAGAAGGGAGGAUAGGAGUCUGUGAGAUGAAAAGAGAGGGGCUGAGGACAUAGAAGAUAGAAAGAGGGUCUGGGGGCCAUGCAGUGAAGGGGUCUCCGGGCGCCACCAUAAAAAGGCAGGCACCCCCUCCUUGGCUAACCUGUCUCCGCUUGGCCAUGUGGGCAGUUGCUCCGAAUGCUGCGGGGCCUCCCCUUUGUGAGGCCUUAAUGGUUGCUGGGCUACGGUGGUGUGUUCCACUGGGGUGGCUCGGUGCUGGGCUCAGGACAUGGCCAGUUGAGAACAGUGGAGGAUGGUGUGAUUGGGGACAUGGGGAACCUUGCCCUGCACCUGGCGCUGCUCCUGAGCCUGCUGGCCCAGCAGCCUGUGAGCACCAAGAAUGGGAGUGAUGUUGCCCUGGAGCAAGUUGUGGUGGAGCUGACAGAGCUGGCCAACAGCUUAUCAUCAUUGAUGGAGUAGAGGAGCUGUCAGGAACCCAUCCAAACGACCCCGCCUGACUGGCAACAGAUGUACCAAUGAAAAAUGUAUGAACCAACCAUAGAUUUACAUGGACAAAAGCUGGAAAUGCAACACUUGAUUUAAUGUAAAUUUGUUUAUGUAUAUUUAAAUGAGGAAAGACAUGAUCAAUUUGGUAUCGUUAACCAGAUGAAAAAAAAAGGCUGCAAGACUUUCUUUAUUUUGGUAGACUUUCUGUAUUAUUACCUGUUUUGCAUUAGUAAUACUUGAAAAUAAUGUGGUGAAUUGCUGAUGACCUUACAAGUAUAUUGAACCUCUGGCUCUUUUUCUUGUUUAAGCAGAUAACCUUGUUUGCAUUAGGGGUAGUGUAGUACA